CAAAGCCCUGGGGGCGUGAUGUGGGGGGGCCCCCACCUCUGAGCCCGGGCUGCACCGUCUGUCCACGGCUCCUCUUGCACUGCCGUGCUGGUCUCGUACACGUCAAGGUCACAUCCAUUCGCUUUCUUCUCAAAAUGAAGAUUCUGACAGGGGAAGACCAGCUGGGCAGAACUAAACAAGCCACAGACUUCUUUCUCCAGCCAAGUGGAGGGGUCUGCACUUCCAAGCGGGAGCCACCCCCCCCCAACCCGCCCACCUGUGUCCAGAGACACCCCUCCAGGCCUGUCCUGCUGUGAUUCCCACAACUGGCAUCAUCAGCCUCCCGCCGGAGGCCCGAAUUAGGUUGCACGUUUGCGAAAGUUCAUGUUUUGAUUCCCAGGCAGAGCUCUUUGAAGGACUGGGGCAGAGAAGUGAUCCCACCUGUGUCAUAUCAUCUCCCAAACUGUCCCUCAGAGUCCAGACUCCUCCCCUCAGGUGAGUCCUCA